rnacentral:lncRNA from 1 species
CCGAAGGUAGAAAACAAGUUGACCCUUAAAAGCGGAUACGCUACCCUUCCACUCUAGGAUAGGUUCACUUGAAAACUGAAAUUAAACUAUUCUAUUUCUGCAGUCGACUGUGGCAUAGUAGGAAUAAAGCCAAUCCAUGCCGAGAAUGACAUCAAAAUAAGUCAUCUCUAAUUCAACUAAGUCUACUGAAGUGACUUUCUAAAAUAUCAUAAUCGAGAAGUUCCUGUAUAUCCCCCGG